GUAAACAAACCCAUCGCGGACGCGGAAUUUACAGAAUCUCGGCACAGAAAAAGACGAUUGCAGUCAAAAUGAAAGUUUCGGCAUUUACCAAGAAAAAGAAUGGCGUAGAAACCACCAAAAUAUGCCGUUGGUGCUUGUCUACGUGCAACGCUUUGGAGCCCCUAGCGAACGACGAAUCCGGACAACAUAAGCUUCAAAAACUCUUCGACUGUACGGGAUUUCAGGCCAAUGUACUACCUGGAGUUCAAUCGUUUCUGUGCACGAAGUGCGAAUCGCGUUUGGAUAAGAUGUAUACGUUUCGCUGGCGAUGCAACAAAAACAUUGCAUUGGCCAAAAAGCUAAACACAGCGAAGAACGAGGCAGACAGCAGUAAAGAUCAUCUUGGCCACUUUGCUGAGCAAACGGUUGGCACAGAAUUGUUAAUCGAAACUGAAGUCAGCACACCGGAUUCAGCGAACGAUUUGCACUUGAGCUGUGCAGCUCAUCAAGUAAGUGGUACAUAUGAAUGUUGUGGCAACCAGGCUGAUGACUUAUUCGAGGCAGAGGAAAAUCCAAUCGCGUUCAAAUUAGAGAAUGAAGAUGUGGAUGAACAGCAGAACAACCAUACAAAUCCUUUAGAAUUGAUCUGUCAGGCUCGAGAAGAUCCCUCUGCAACAACCAACUCCGA